UACGUAGGGGGCAAGCGUUGUCCGGAGUUACUGGGCGUAAAGCGCACGCAGGCGGUCUCUUAAGUUUGGAGUGACAGUUGGUGGCUUAACUGCCAAAGUGCUUCGAAAACUGAGAGACUUGAGGGCUUCAGAGGGACACGGAAUUCCGGGUGGAGUGGUGAAAUGCGUAGAGAUCGAGGAGACACCGGAGGCGAAGGCGGUGUCUGGGCGACUGACUGCUGAGGAC
rnacentral:rRNA from 1 species